CGCAUGGUAAAGGACGUCAGACUAGAGAGAAAGUGACUGAGUGAGCGAGCGAGCAAGCGAGCGUGCGACGAAACGACAUAUAGUUCGAAAUAGUUGUGCACAAGUUGUGUAAACGGUGUUGGAGCACGCGUAGAUAAUCAAACCGUUCAGGGUUCACGUGUGGUUAAAUUUUAAUACGGUACAGGAACAGACCUUUCGAUGCAUUCAACGGGAAGCAUGAUCCUUCGAAUGUUCUCUGCCUCGUUUGUCAUGUGUACACGAUCAUGCAGUCGCGCGAUUCGAAGACGCAGUGUAGAAACGAGAGCGAAUAGUUUAUAUCAGUGAAAGAACGUAAGGACAUUUCGAGUUUAUCAACCAUUUUCGGUCAACGUUUCGCCUCUAAUUUCAUUUUUCAGCACUAGGCUAUACUUACGUCAUUAUGCCGUUUACAUAUGUAUUUUCCAAUAACAACGCUGAACUUUGGCACAUGUAUUGCGCUUUCUCGUAACGGCAAUGGAAUCGCGUUAGAAGAGUGAAAUAUUAAAGAUUUGAAGAAACAGGAACUUUAAUUCGUUAAUUCCACCAUUUUUAUACGUAUUCGCAUAAACUCUCUUUGACACAAUUUUAAUUUUACAACUGGUAGUGUAUCGUAUAAAAAAAUAUACAUGCGCCAUUCUACCUGUGAAAUUAUUUAAAAGAACCUAACGAUGUUGGGAACAUGUAACAUAUACUAUCGUGACUGUAACAAACGAAAUCAAGUCUGGACCUUAAUAAGCAUUGGAUGGUAAAAAAUUGUAUAAAGUGGAAAUGCGAUUUCGAGAAUGUAUUGAAAUUUAAUCGAAACAAUACAAAAUUACGAAAAAUGAGAACACUUAUGUGUAUGGUUUGUUCGGUGCUUUUACUAUCUUUACUGCUAUUCAUUAGCAUCGUGUCAUCGGCCCCUUCCUAUGAACAUAUUGCCCUCCAAGCUGCUGACCAAUGUGAUUGGAUUGGAAGUGGCGGUGGUGGCCGAGGUGUUCGACCGGUGUAUCUGCGAUGCUCCAGGGGAACAGUACUAUGGCGUUAUCCACGCGGGGCUUUGCGCGUAGUUCUCUCUCCCCCUGCUUUGACUGGUUUCGUUUCCAAGGUUCAUUAUGAAUUCAUUGGAGGAAAGGGCAACGUUAAUAAGAAAAACAAUAACGACUCGAAUAGCAAUAAUAUUGACUUUCGAUCAUCUACUUUCCGCACUUGUACUAAAGUUUCUGGACCGGUAAGAGUAUAUCUUGAAACUCGUGGAAAACUUCGACCGGUAUACUCACCGAGGGAUGGUAAACAUAAAGCAUCGCAUAGAUGUUUUCACGCGAAGAAACAACCUGCAGCACUUUACAUAGAAGCGGAAGAAUUUGUGUCAGGAGAAUGUCACGAUGUACGAUUACAAUACGAUUUAGAAUUGCGAUAUGUUGAUGGACGACAAGGAAUAUCACGACGAUUUAACGACGAAGAAGAAGAAGAUUGUAGACCAUGUUCUAUGGAUGAACUGGCCAAAGCUUAUUGUCAAAGCGACUUUAUAGCCAGAGGUACGGUGAGUGCCGUUCAAAGGCAACCAAAUUUGGAAGCUGCCGAACUUGUUCUUGGAAUAACAAAAAUUUUGCGUCGAAUAGAAGAGAACGAGGUAACGCUCUACCCUUCUCCGCUUUUUCCCUUUUUGCUACCCAUCCAAUUAUAAAUUGAAUCAUACCCUAUAAUAAUUGUAUAUUAUUACUCUAAUAGCCAAUAACAAUAGUAGCCUCCACAAUAUAGCAAGGAUGUAAAUAGUCCGGCAUAAAAAUCACAUGCAUACUAUAUAUGCAUAUUCGAACGUUUAAGCACAAGCAAUCCACAGAACUAAGAUAAUAUUAUAGUAUUACAUGAUACUCGGCUCAGCAAUAGUUUAUAUAAUUUCUGCUGAAACAAAUCUAGCGAUGUAUAUCGCUUUAAGAUUCUGUUAUAUGGCAAACUGGAGACUACUAUAAAUAUCUAAAAUAAUUUCCAUUAAUAACAACGAUGCGGAUAGUAUUGAUUCCCAUGAUCGCAGAAAUGUUCGCGUAAGAGUACCAACUGCAUGUGAUGCACGC